UACGGAGGGGGCUAGCGUUGUUCGGAAUUACUGGGCGUAAAGCGCACGUAGGCGGCUUUGUAAGUUAGAGGUGAAAGCCCAGGGCUUAACCCUGGAAUUGCCUUUAAGACUGCAUCGCUAGAAUCGUGGAGAGGUGAGUGGAAUUCCGAGUGUAGAGGUGAAAUUCGUAGAUAUUCGGAAGAACACCAGUGGCGAAGGCGUCUCACUGGACACGUAUUGACGCUGAGGUGCGAAAGCGUGGGGAGCAAACAGG
rnacentral:rRNA from 1 species